UACGUAGGGUGCGAGCGUUGUCCGGAAUUAUUGGGCGUAAAGAGCUCGUAGGCGGCCUGUCGCGUCGGUUGUGAAAGCCCGGGGCUUAACCCCGGGUCUGCAGUCGAUACGGGCAGGCUAGAGUUCGGUAGGGGAGAUCGGAAUUCCUGGUGUAGCGGUGAAAUGCGCAGAUAUCAGGAGGAACACCGGUGGCGAAGGCGGAUCUCUGGGCCGAUACUGACGCUGAGGAGCGAAAGCGUGGGGAGCAAACAGG
rnacentral:rRNA from 1 species